UCGAGAAUUUUUCUCAAUGGGCGAAAGCCUGAAGGAGCGACGCCGCGUGGGGGAUGAAUGGCUUCGGCCCGUAAACCCCUGUCAUUUGCGAACAAACCUCGUGAUUUAACAGAUGACGAGCUGAUUGUAGCGAAAGAGGAAGGGACGGCUAACUCUGUGCCAGCAGCCGCGGUAAUACAGAGGUCCCAAGCGUUGUUCGGAUUCACUGGGCGUAAAGGGUGCGUAGGUGGCCGGGUAAGUCUGAUGUGAAAUCUCCGAGCCUAACUCGGAAACUGCAUCGGAUACUAUUCGGCUGGAGGGUUGGAGGGGGACUGGAAUACUUGGUGUAGCAGUGAAAUGCGUAGAUAUCAAGUGGAACACCAGUGGCGAAGGCGAGUCCCUGGACAACUCCUGACACUGAGGCACGAAAGCUAGGGGAGCAAACAGGAUUAGAUACCCUGGUAGUCCCUGAGCGGGCUGGCAAGGCGCAU
rnacentral:rRNA from 1 species